GUGACUCAGUGGUAGAGUACUUGCCUUGCAUGCAUGAAGCCCUGGUUUCAAUUCCCCAGC
rnacentral:tRNA from 1 species